rnacentral:rRNA from 1 species
CCUACGGGAGGCAGCAGUGGGGAAUAUUGGACAAUGGGGGCAACCCUGAUCCAGCCAUGCCGCGUGUGUGAAGAAGGCCCUCGGGUUGUAAAGCACUUUCAGUGAGGAAGAACGCCUGGUGGUUAAUACCCAUCAGGAAAGACAUCACUCACAGAAGAAGCACCGGCUAACUCCGUGCCAGCAGCCGCGGUAAUACGGAGGGUGCGAGCGUUAAUCGGAAUUACUGGGCGUAAAGCGCGCGUAGGUGGCUUGAUAAGCCGGUUGUGAAAGCCCCGGGCUCAACCUGGGAACGGCAUCCGGAACUGUCAAGCUAGAGUGCCGGAGAGGAAGGUAGAAUUCCCGGUGUAGCGGUGAAAUGCGUAGAGAUCGGGAGGAAUACCAGUGGCGAAGGCGGCCUUCUGGACUGACACUGACACUGAGGUGCGAAAGCGUGGGUAGCAAACAGGAUUAGAUACCCCUGUAGUC